GGAUAUUCAAGAACACGGUGGCGGCUCUGAUGACGAUGGAGGAGAUGAGAAGGGGAAGCUCGACUUACAGCCAUUUUUCGCUGCCGCCACUAGACUUGCCUGAUUUUGAUGUUAUUCAAUCCUUGCAACUUCUAUCUCCUAUACAAAUUCCCUGAUUAAGAAUUUUAAUUAUUUGGAUAUUUCACUUGUUUAAUUAGAUAUGUGACAAUUUAAUCCAUCUAAUUAUAAAAAAUGGAGCAUGCAAUGGGAAUAUUCUUAUUUAAUUUGGAUUCCCCUUCCCAUAGUGUUUCAAUGCCACAGUAUAGUACAAUUAAUAAUACUCCCUAGCUAAUAAGUCUUGUAUUGUGAUUUCAAUAAGUUAAUUUUGAGAAAGAAUUCGAAUUACGGAGAAAGCAAAAAGCCCUAAAUAAUGUCGUCGUCCACUUGUUACGCGUGAAGAGCUAAAACAAAGGCUUCUACGGAAGGCGUAAAAUUUAAAUUUAAAUUUUCGAUAUUUGCUCUAGUAACAAAUGCCCGAUACCAACUCUCUUUUAACGAAGCGUUAGAUCCUGAAGUAUAAUGCCUCAAACGAGAUUUAACAAAACACACCAUCCGUAUGCAAUUCAAUUAAAACAAACAAGGCCUUGUUUGAUUAGUCUUGAUUUAUUAAUAUAAAUGUCAAAUUUUCAUUUAUAUGUAUUGUUGUUUACUUUUUCUUUUUUCCCUUCCAAAUGAAAUGACAAAUAUGCCCCUAUGCCAAAUUUAAGCAAAAAAAAAGGGUAAACUACAAUAACCCCCCUGAGGUAAUAUCUAUUUACAAAACCCCCUUCAUUAAUUUACAUAAUUACAUCUACACCUUGCAAUUUGUAGAUUUCUUACAUUAACGCCCUUUGUAGGGUUAGAUGUGAGAAUUUCACAAACCGUAAGGGGGCUGGAUAUAAUUUAUCAAAAAUAAGGGGUUUUUUUCGUGAUGUAAAGUGUAAUUACAAAAUAAACCUUGUGUUUGAGAAAUUACAUACAACCCCUGCAGUUUAUAAAUUUCUUACAUACAACUCUUACAAAAGGAAUAUUACAUACAACCCCUGCAGUUUAUAAAUUUCUUACAUACAACCCCUACAAAAGGAAUAUUACAUACAACCCGUGCCGUUUAUAAAUUUCUUACAUACAACCUCUACAAAAGGAAGUUGAUGUAAGAAAUCUACAAAUUGCAACGAAUGGAUGUAAUUAUAGAAAAUUGAGGGGGGGUUUCGUAAAUAGACAUCACAUCAUGGGGGUGAUUGUAAUAUAAAAAAAAUCACAAUUUCAAUACAUGUUAUGAACAAACAUAUAAAUACAUUCAACUCACAUAUAUCAUCACUUAUAACAAACAUAGUACAUAUCAAAUAUAACUACAACAAAUCCAUUUGGUUUACACAGGGGAAGAUAGUUGCUGCUCUGUUUUAUCAUGGCAUCGAAUUUUGUGUACAAGAGUAUCGAUUCCCGGGCAAAUAAACUUAUAAUACAUGUAAUGAGUUAUAGGCCACAUCCCGAAUAUCACGGACAUAGGUAUCCAGAUUAUAAGAGGCACGUGCGAAUCCGGGUAGGGUAGAAAGAUUAGUGAUAUCUGAGACAACACUGAAAGAAGACCGGAUGCCAGAGCAGCUAACUGUAACACAAGAAACCAAUUACCGUCGGAUUUUAUUUGCGUUAAUUUCUUCAUUGCCUCUGCUAUUAGCCAAUAAACGAAAGUAGACGCGAUAAAACACCACAACGGUAUUACGUUAUCGACGAAAACCUUGUUUGGAUUGUCGUGGUAUUUCAACAUUACAAGGCCGAUUGUAAUACCGGGAAACGUGUAUGUCAUCAAGUACGUGAGCACCGGUGUUCUCCUAAUCGCUUCAUCCUCAUCACUAGUACUGAAACGAAAACAAAAACAUAUGAAAAACAUUAUUACAAGGUUGGUUGACGCAUAUAUAUUAUAUCCAGUUUUCGUUGUUCUUCAUCAUUCCCCGGGCCAAAAAAAUAAAUAAAUAAAUAAAUAAAUCGCAGGGAUUCGCAAGACAAAGCCAUUAAUUAUGACGAAAGACAAGCUAAUUAAUAAAGGUAACAAAAUUCCGCACCUGGAGGCACAGUCGCGACGAGUGUGAUGAUCGCCGUGGCUUGUGUUCGACGGCAUAACCUCUGUUUUCAUGCAAUGAGAGAGGUAUUAUAUCUCAGGCAAACUUACAGAGGGAAGCUUGCUUGGUUGUGUCAAAAGAUGAUGUGUAUUGCAAUUUGGACCAAAUAUAUAUAAUGGGCCAAUUUGUUGAAUGCUCUCAACUGAAGUAGAAUUUAACCAUGUUAUUUAAUCAAUAAGGUAUAAUUAACUAGAAAAUGUCAAAGAGACUAAGGUGGUUAAGCCGGUGUUUGCAACAACUUUUAAAAAUAUAUUAUGAGCUUUUUUUUCUCAUAUAAGGUGGUUAAGCCGGUGUUUGUAAAACUGAUUUUUAUUUUUGCUUCUUUAAAAAUAAGCUGUUUUAAACUAUAAUUUUAAAGGGGCUAUUUGCCAAAACCCCUCCAUUCAAUUUUGAAUUCUUAAUAAAUUAUUUUUUUUAAUUGAUAUUUGUUAUAAAUCCAAUUGAUUCAAAUUAUCUAAAAUACCACUAUUUAUUAUUAGCCAAAGUUACCAUAUUAUAUUAUUAUGGAAAAUCAUUAAAAAAAUUAAAUAUCUAAAUCUCUUAUUUCUCCCCACUAUCUCACCCACCCCCAUAUUCUCUCUCUCUCCCUAUCUCAUGCACCAAAUUUAAUUUUAGUGUUUUUCCAGAAUUUUUUUGUUUUUUUUAAUAGGUUUUUUUUUAUUUCAAAAUUUAAACUAAAACUUGUUAUUUUUUAAUUUUUAAUUUUUAAUUUUUAUUUUAUUUCAGUUUAAUCGUUCAUAUUUUAUAUAAAAAAAAUUCACUACAUAAUAAUCGAAAACCAUUAAAUUUAUCGAAAACCACUAUGAAAAUAAAGUAAAAAUUACUGUAAAAUAAGCAUAAUCCACCUUAAUAUUAAUGUAAUCCCACUAUUAAAUUAGUGUAACCCACUGUUAAAUUAGUGUAAUUCACUACAUGUUCAUAAAAAACGACUAUUAAAUUAGUGAAAUCAACUUAAUUUUUUUUCCACCCGGGUUACAAAAAUUAAAAUCCACUAUAUACUCAUCGAAAACUACUAAAAUUUAUCAAAAACCAUUGUAAAAUUACUGUACAAAUCACUGUAAAAUCACGUAAUCCACUUUACAUUAACAUAAUCCACUAUGUGAAAACCACUAUUUAUAAACAACAAUAUAAAUAUGAAAACUGCUAUGUAUAACAACUAUAUAACAUGAAAACCACUCUAUAUAACAACUAUGUAAACUUGAAAACCACUAUAUAUAACAAUUAUGUCCAUAUAAAAACCACUCUGUAUAAACAGUUAUAUAUUAAUAUGUACAAUAAUUAUUGAAAACCACUAUAAUUUUUGUACAGAUUUUUAUAGUGGUUUAUGUAAAAAAGAGAAUAGCUAUAUGGAGAUCGGCCGAGAGAGAGAGAGAGAGAGAGAGAGAGAGAGAGAGAGAGAGAGAGAGAGAGAGAGAGAGAGAGAGGGGGGGGCAGAGAAAAUGAAAGAAAAAAAAAAGAACCAAAAGAAAUAAAUCUGCUACAAGAAAAGAAACGUAAUAUGUAGGUUAAAAUAUUUAAGGUAUAAGAGCAAUAUAGGAAUAAAAAAAAAUUAGGGAUGUAUGUCAUAUAUGGUUUCAAAUUAAGGAUUUAACUAACAGAUUGGAUUUGGACUUGUUAUUUAGUCCAAAUUAGGUUUGCUUUGAGGGACUCAUAGCAUAUUACCCCUUAAAAAUAAGGGUAAAUUACAACCGCCCCUAACUAUGGUUAAAUUACGAAAAUCCACUCUUGUAUAGGUAAUUACAACUACCCCUAAACUAUAAUCUUUUUACACGUCCACCCUUGCGGAUUCAAAUUUAGUGGAAUCUUCUAUAUUAUUAUGUCAUUUGAGCUCCACAUUUUGAAGCAAUAUGAUCAUAAAAUGUGUUUAUUGGCUUGUAUAUAUCAGAUUUUAGUACAUCAGAAACUGUAUUUUUGCUAAAAUGAGUACAAACUAGAGAAAAUUUCACGAAAUCUAGAUAAUUAUGUUGAAUUUGACAUCAUAAGGGUGCAGGUGUAAGAAGAUUCAUAGCUGAGAGUAAUAGAUGUAAUUAUCCAAACAUGAGAUGUUUUUUUGUAAUUUAACCAUACAUCAGGGGGUCGUUGUAAUUUAUCCUAAAAAUAACAAUAAUUCUUUUACACGUCUAUUCUUGCGAAUUCAAAAUUUAGUGAAAUCUUCUAUAUUAUAUGGAAUAUUCUCAAUUUUGUACUCGUUUUAUGCCAUUUGAGCUCCACAUUUUGAAACAAGAUGAUCAUAAAAUGUGUUUAUUGGCUUGUAUAUAUCAGAUUUUAGUACAUCAGAAACUGUAUUUGUGCACAAAACGAGUAGAAACUAGAGAACAUUUCACGAAAUCUAGAUAAUUAUGUUGAAUUUGUCACAAUAAGGGUGGAGGUGUAAGAAGAUUCAUAGCUGAGAGUAAUAGAUGUAAUUAUCCAAACAUAAGGAGUUUUUUUGUAAUGUAAUCAUACUUGUGGUUGUAAUUUAAUCUAAAACUAAUAAUAAUAAUAUUUGAAUCAUUUCAAUAUUUUCACUACGAAUAAAAAAAAGGUAUCAUUUGGAUACUAAGAUAAUAUAAUACAAUCUUAUGAAAAUCUAAUUGUAUAAUUGGAUUAGGGAUGUUAAUUAUUACCCAAUUGAGUAUUGACCAAUAAAACAACAGAAGAGCUCCUUCCGCAAUCAAUGUGGGUCGGGCCGAAAAAUUAUUCGACCUGUCAGUAUCAAAUGAAAUUCAAAUAUUUAAUUAAGGGUAAAUUACAAAAACCCCCCUGAAGUAUGGUCAAAUUAUAAAAACCCCCCUCCUGUUUGGAUAAUUACAUAUACCCCCCUCAACAAUGAUUUUUUCUUACACCUCCACCCUUAUUGUGCCAAAUUCAAUAUAAUCAUCUAGAUUUCGUGUAAUGUGCUCUAGUUUGUAUUCGUUUUGUGUAAAAAUACAGUUUUCGAUGCACUACAAACUGAUAUACACAAGCUAAAAAUCACAUAUUAUGAUCAUCUUACUUCAUAAUGUAGAGUUUGAAUGGUAUAAAACGGGUACAAAAGUGAUACUAUUUCAUAUAAUCCCGAAAAUUCCACAAAAGUGAUAAUAUUUCAUAUAUUUCAUAUUACAAAUAUUAUUUUUCUUUCUUCAAUACCAAAUAAUUAAAACACCUCAAAACUCAUUUCCCUCACAAACCCCUCACCUUGAUAUUGUCAAGUGAGAGUUGAGACUUGAGAUUAAGUGAUAAAUCCUAUUAUUUAAUCAAACGGACCCUAAUUCAGUUGGUCAACACCGAAGUAGGCCGACCGAAUAUCUUUGUGGACUGUGGUUGAUUAAUUAGAAAACCGAAAAUAAAAAUAAAAUUUGCUACUAUCUAAAUUUAUUCUUGAAAAACUGACAAUUUAAGUUAUGGAAUUGAAAUUUGGCAUUUUCUUUGCCUCCGCCGCAGCGUCGCUAUACAUAUAUAAAACACGAAAAACAGAUUGAAUUAAAUCUGAUUUCAUCAUUUAUGAACUAAUGUUGAUUCAUAUUUUAAAAAGUCAAAUAUUAUCAUUGUUGGCCGAAAACCUACACGCAAGUGUACGUAUUGUACAAGUAAUAAAGUGGAUUUUUAAGUUCAAGUAUCGAUCCCAUAGAGAAUAUUUAAUUAUCUAAUCCUAUGCGCUAAAUUCUACCAAUUAUUAUCAAGCCCACCCUACAAAGUCGAUUUUAGAGAGAAUUAACUAGAUUAAAAUAAAUUAAAAAGCAAAUUAAAACGACAAAGCAAGAAAGCAGUUAAAACGAAGAUUUAAUCAAAGUAAACAAGCCUAAGAUUUUAUUCUUCCUCCUAUGUGAUUACUACUCCCCAAAUUCCUUCAAUUAUGCAAACAAUUAACCCGGAUUAUUAACCUGAGAUGCUAAAAUAAUCAUAACCCGCUUUCGCGUGUAUUACGAUUCUAAUACUCUAUAUUCAAUUACUAUAUUCCUAUGUAAUUAAUUCUAGAACACAACAUUAAGCACAAAUCUCAAUAAUGGCUACCUAAGAGAUUAACUAUAUUCCUAUGUUAAUACCACAAAUGCUCUUCUACCACAAUUCUAAUUAUUAACCUGAUCUUCCGAUUCAUGCGAUUAACAAUAACAUAAAAGCACAUAAGGUGAUCAAGUUCAUGCACUUAAUAAAACAAGUAGAAGAAAUAAUCCGGAAUUAAAACUUGCAUAAAAUCAUAGAAUUGGGUUCAUAAAUCCCACAUAGGGUUCCAAAUAAAAUCCUAGAAACUAAAGACUUAGCUACUCGUGGUUCUUAUGAUAAAGAAAAUAAAAGAAAUAAAUUAAAUAAGAAAAAUUAUGCUUGAGUUUUCGUUGAUCUUCGUUCCUCCCGUUUUGUGGUGUAAAAUUCCGUGCUUAUGAUGUAGAGACUUAUUGCUUUUAUAAGCUUUUCUUGAUAAGGAAGUAGUGGAAACCUAAUAGGAAUCAAUUUCCGCCAUUUUCCCCCAUCAUGACUUGUUCUUCGAUUUUCUCCAUGUUGCAAUCCGAAUUUUGGAAUGUUGUGUAAAUAAGAAUCGUAGCCCUUGAAAUUAGCUUUCCAAUGCCGCCAAAAUCAGCUGAUUUGGAGUUCGUAUGAGAGAUAUGCUCGAAAUGAUGGACACUGCCAAAAGUGUGGCGCGAUUCCUUCUUCCAAUUUGAUUUAUUUCCUUAUUUGCAACUUAUUCUUUUCUUUUUGAUCUAUUUUCCUUCAUGGACACCUAAUUCUUGUUUUUCACCUAUAAAACACAAAAUCAAUCAAUUAAAGCACAAAUAUAAUUAAAUCUAAACAAAAGAUCCACGUAAAGUAAGCGUAUUAGGCGUAAAAUCUACACUCAACAACGUGGCGUUAAUUUAUGUUGCUUUUCGAACAUAAAAAUUACCGAUAAUGGCAAUACAAAAAACUCGUGAAUGUGUUAUUUAAGAAUAAGAAAGAUUCCAUAUAAAGGCCCUAUUAGGGUAAUUAUUAAAUUUUCUUUAAAAUGUAGCACAAAGAAAUGUAACGUCUGCAUGUGUAGAAUUGGCAUUUUUUGGGAAUAUUCCUUCGAAUCAAAAAGAUUUUGCGAAAAAACACGCUUUAAUGGGGUUGGUGUAACACGGAAACAAACGUCUUGGGGAUUUUAGUAAUUAAUGAUAGGUGGGGAUACUUUUAUGUAAUUUAGUCUAAGUUAAGGGGUUCGUAAUUUACCCUAAAUAUAAACUAAUUAUUCGAGAAUUUUCAGGGUUGGCUAAGAUAGUAAAGAAGCACGACAAAAGAACCGGUGGAGUUUUACGAAUUGUUGGAUUUUGGCCCAAAUAUGUUCUGGGCCAUAAAGCCCAAUUGCCAUUAUUUAUAUACACCACCAUGAGUUGAGCCCAAGUUAGUUUAAGUGAGCCCAGCCCAUUUAGUAGCCAGAUCCAUCCGUUGGAUCUCAGGCUUAAUCUGGACCGUUCAGUGCCUCACUUAAAUAGCUCUUUCUCUCUCUUCGUUUCUCUCACUCUGAAACCCUAAAUCUUUCCCUCUCUUCUCCGCCGCUCCUGCUUCUGUCUUCUUCCUCCCUUGUACUGCCUUGACUGAGUUAUGGCUGGAGGUCAAAGUGCACGGUACAGUGCUGACUUUGACCCUCCGGUACAGCCUUCACCGGCUCUCUUUGACUUCAGUCCCUAUAUAUGUUGGCAUGGAGGCUGGAAGAGGGUAAGACAGAGAUAAACCCUAGUCAGACCUAAAUCCCUUCGUUUUCUUCUUUGUGAGUUCAGAAAUUGGGGUUUUGGUGAGUGGGUUAGCUUGAGUGCUUGAUCUGUUCUUCCUUCGUGGUUUUCUGGGUAUUUUAGGGUUUGAGUGUGUUUGAGAGAAAGGAGAUCUGUUCUCCUUGAGGUACUCUGGUGGUGUAUAUUUGGAAGUGUGAAUCUCUGGUGUGAAAUUGGAAGACUGAGCUGAAAUCUCAAUCUAUUUGAUUUCAGCCGUCAGAUCUUGAUUUCAAAGAUGAGAUGGCAAAGAUCAGAAAAGAAAUAGUCAACUUCCAUGGUGAAAUGUUUCUCCUUAUGAACUACAGCAAUAUCAAUUACACAGGUAACGUAAUUUUAAUUAGUUUAAAAAUCAAAUUCAUCAUCUCUAAAUAUAUAUAAACUAAUUAUUUCGAUAAUUUUCAGGGUUGGCUAAGAUAGUAAAGAAGCACGACAAAAGAACCGGUGGAGUUUUACGGUUACCGUUCAUCCAAAAAGUCUUGGAACAGCCGUUCUUCACGACCGACUUGAUCUCGAAGCUCGUAAAGGAAUGCGAAACCACAAUAGAAUCGGUGUUUCCACCGCCGGAAUAUUCCGGUACCGGAAUAUUCCAAGGAGAGAGGGCGGCUCCCGGGGAAGGGAUAUUCAAGAACACGGUGGCGGCUCUGAUGACGAUGGAGGAGAUGAGAAGGGGAAGCUCGACGUAGAGCCAUUUUUCGUUGCCGCCACUAGACUUACCUGAUUUUGAUGUUAUUCAAUCCUUGCAACUUCUUUCUCCUAUACAAAUUCCCUGAUUAAGAAUUAAUUAUUUGGAUAUUUCACUUGUUUAAUUAGAUAUGUGACAAUUUAAUCCACCUAAUUAUAAAAAUGGAGCAUGCAAUGGGAAUAUUCUUAUUUGGAUUCCCUUCCCAUAGUGUUUCAAUGCCACAUUAUAGU
rnacentral:lncRNA from 1 species